rnacentral:lncRNA from 1 species
GGGCGCUGCGGGCUUGGUGGGCGAGCAGACUUCAUUCACCUGCGGGGAAGACACGCCGGUGUCAGGGGCUGCAAGGCGGCGGGCUGCAGCGCCCAGGAGCUGGGUCAUACGUGCGCCACCAAGUACCCGCUCGAACCGCCCACGGGAGUCGGUUGGGGACCUCUCCAAGCCCUGCGGCCAAAUUGCCCUCCGUCUGUCUCGUUAAUUGUCCUUAAGUAAACGAGAGGCUCUCACGGCUCCAGCUAAACGAUCCGAGGUACUGCCCAGCAUUCAUGGGAAACCCUCCCCUUCGGCUUCACUCUGCCUAGAAGUGCAGGAAUGCGGCAAAAGUUACGGCCGCACGUCCUCUUGUCACGGCCACAUCCACAGAACUGGCAUUUUCUUCAGCCAAGUCAGUCCGUGCUCCCCCACGAGGAAAGCGAGGGAUACAAUCAGGGCUCGCGGCCGCUGCCGGGAAGGUGGGAGAGCCGAGCCGAGUCAGCUGUGGGAACUUGUCUCCUUCACCGAGCUUGGUAACUGAGUUCAAAGAAAUUCUCCCAAAAUAUAAAGAUCCAGACUCGGGGAGGAGCCUCGGCGUGUCGCCGAGCCAAUAUCCGCCGGCCCGUUUCGCCUGACAGUUGCGCGAGGGCCGGGAGAGGGGCGGCUCCGCGUGGCCCGGGAGCGGUCGGCGGUCACAGCGCGCGUGUGCGCCCGGGCGCAGCGCGGAGGAGCCUCGGGAACCUGCCGCCCUCGCCGCGCCGGCCGGGAUCCAUUUUAUGUGGCGGCGCUCGUGCCUGACAUUGCGAGGCCUGGAGCCGGGCUGGGGCUGGGGGCGGGGGAUCGUCGAUCUCGCCGCGUGCGGGGAAGUUCCUGGCGCGCGGCCCGGGCCCGGGGCUCUAAUGAAACGCCGCUGCGCGAGCCUGGAGCCCGGGGGCCGCGCGAGCGAGCGUGGCUGGACGGAAAUGCGGUGCCCCAGCCUCCCCCGCCCCCAAGUUCUUUCUCUUCCUGACAAGGCUUGCAGGUCUGUCUGUGAAACGCCGUGCAAAAGGGAUUGAGUCACAAACAAGUCCACAAACAUGCCGGGUCCUCCCCCCGCCCUUUGUUCUCGGAGAGCUGCCGGGCAAACCUUUUCUGGAAUUGCCCUACCGACCCCGGGCCGGCCGGGGGGCCACCCUCCCCGACCGCAGCCGCAGGACUAGGGCCCUUGGUCCCCCGCCCGCCCGAGCCCCGGUCUGUGAUGGACUAAGCCGCCCGGGGCUGGGACAGGUGAGCCUGGUGACCCAGCGGGCCGCUGCCGGGCAGGGGAAACUGAGGGCUUCGCCGCGCUGCACGCGGACGACUCUGGCCUGGAGAGGGGGUGUGGCGCGAGCUGGCCUUGGCCUCUCCUUGCGUGGGAUCGGGCCCCUCGCCCCCCGCCGCCCGUUUCUUCCUGCGCCUGGGCCCCGCGGGGUCUCCGGAGCACCCCGUCAUCGCUCCCUCUCCGAUCGCCCCCCGCCCCAGUCCCCCGGCGCAGCGCCCAGGAGCGCAGGAAGCCGGCGUAUGCCAGGCUCCACACGUGGCUGCUCUGGGGUGUCAUUUUUCAUUUCACGGGAGGACAUUUCUUCUGGUGAGCCAGCAGGUCUGUUUUGUUGUGACCUUUAAUUAACACCCCGCGAGACGCCUCUGGAAGGACUGGCCGGGCGCAGGGAUCACGUGGGGUGUAACGGCAUCUCCGCGCCCGCGGGGAGACCCAGCCCGGGGGUGGGCGAGGGCGCGAAGGACGUUCAGGGCUUUCUGGUCGCUGACUUCCUUCUGAGCUGUGGACGACGCAGGAGGGGGCAAGAAGACAAAGGUUCGGGGUUCUGGAAGCCUGGGGCCACGCCCCCACUCUGCCUUCCUCGGGGACAAUUUCUUCUGUGCCUCCCGUGCUCUGCCCCACUCCUCCCCGCUCCAGCUCCUGCGCGGGAAUAUUUCACAGCCACCAAAGCGAGGUAAAAAGGUCAAAAGGAAGAUGGCAAGAACAGAGUGGACGUUUCCGUUACGUUCCCACUUCCAAUUUAAAAGCGAUCCUAUCAAUAGGGGACCUUAGGGGGCAGGUACACCUCCAGGCAGCACGCGCCAGCUCCCACCCGCAUCUGUAUUUCGCGUAGGUGCCGCGAAACACAUCAUCGCCAUUGGCCACGAGCCGCUUAUCAGCCAAAAAGCAGCGUGUGGUGAAACGAGCCG